rnacentral:rRNA from 1 species
UACGUAGGCAGCAAGCGUUGUUCGGAGUUACUGGGCGUAAAGGGUGUGUAGGCGGUUGCGUAAGUUCGGUGUGAAAUCUCCCGGCUUAACUGGGAGGGUGCGCCGAAAACUGCGUGGCUAGAGUGCGGGAGGGGAGAGCGGAAUUCCUGGUGUAGCGGUGAAAUGCGUAGAUAUCAGGAGGAACACCGGCGGUGUAGACGGCUCUCUGGACCGUUACUGACGCUGAGUACGAAAGCGUGGGUAGCAAACAGG